rnacentral:rRNA from 1 species
AGAGUUUGAUCCUGGCUCAGAUUGAACGCUGGCGGUAGGCUUAACACAUGCAAGUCGAGCGGAAACGAAGAAUAGCUUGCUAUUCUGGCGUCGAGCGGCGGACGGGUGAGUAAUGCUUGGGAAUCUGCCUAGUCGAGGGGGACAACAGUUGGAAACGACUGCUAAUACCGCAUACGACCUACGGGUGAAAGGGGGCCUCUUCUUGAAAGCUCUCGCGACUAGAUGAGCCCAAGUGGGAUUAGCUUGUUGGUGAGGUAAGAGCUCACCAAGGCGACGAUCCCUAGCUGGUCUGAGAGGAUGAUCAGCCACACUGGAACUGAGACACGGUCCAGACUCCUACGGGAGGCAGCAGUGGGGAAUAUUGCACAAUGGGCGAAAGCCUAAUGCAGCCAUACCGCGUGUAUGAAGAAGGCCUUCGGGUUGUAAAGUACUUUCAGCGAGGAGGAAAGGUGGUAAAUUAAUACUUUAUCACUGUGACGUUACUCGCAGAAGAAGCACCGCUAACU